GUAUGGAUUUUAAAGGCACAAAAAGCCUAUAAGCAACAUUCUAUUACAUUUCAUGGGGUAUAUGCAAAAAAUACAUAGACUAGAAACUCUGAAAAAGAGCUGGCUUUCCGCACAGCAAUUCUUCAAAAAUCCAAAGAAGAAAUAAAGCUUCCUUGAGAGCUGUUUCACAUCUACAAAAGGUGCACAGGUGGUUUAGAUGGAGUAGGUGUGCACAUGCUCCUGAGGAACCAGCAACAACCCAACCAAGUUUCAUUAAUGAUCCUUCCGCAGGUUCACCUACGGAAA
rnacentral:misc_RNA from 1 species